AUCUUCAGGUGGACUUGGGCUCCAGCAGGGACCCACGACAUGGGAAAUACAUGGAGAUGCAUUGCCACCUCCUUCUCCAAGCUCUUGUUUCCUGAGAAACAAGGAGAAUCAGGCUGAGAAGGCGUGGAGGCCUGUGGGCCAAGGGGCAGGAGGGAGUCUGUCUCCGCUGCAGGAGCACGUGCUGGCUCCCCACACUGGCUGGAGGCACAGGCACAGCAGUGCUGGUAGGCCUGGCAGGUUCCUGGCUUGCUCUCUGAUGCUGAGAAGGACAGACAAACUGGUCUCCACCCCUGUCCCUUCCUUUCCCAUCAUCCUCUUCUCAGUUUCCUUCCCUCUCAACUUCACUAUGAGAAUAAAUUGCAAUAGUUUAUUCCACAUGCCUCAAGUGUGCUAGGAUUCUCAAUGAAUUCCAGUCAGAAACACAAUAGCGCACUGCAUUGGAACAGCCCAGUAUUGUUCUUCUUAGCGUAUUUCAGCCAAAAGAAAGAGAGAGAGAGAGAGAGAGAGAGAGAGAGAGAGAGAGAGAGAGAGAGACACCGCUCGUAUCUCGAAAAACUCGUUAGUCGGGACACUUGUAAGUCAAGGCCCCACUGUAGCUGCAUGUGGGUUUAUUUAUCACUGUAGUCCUGGAGGACUGCAGCUUCCUUCUUUGCUGGGGACGAGUUUGUGAUGAAUCAGAAUGUGGUCCAGGACUAUACCGUUUGCUUUCCACACUUCCCACCAGAGGCGUGACGCUGGGGGCUGGGCGUCCCCAACAGAGAUGGUGGAGGUCGGAGCCCGGGGCAGCCGCACCCUCGGGUCUGUUUUCAUUAACUGUCUGUCAUCUGUUUUUAAAAUUAAAAGUCAGAUACGGUUUUUAACAUCCCUAA